CAGUAGCCACGGGAAUACGGAGGGAGCUAGCGUUGUUCGGAAUUACUGGGCGUAAAGCGCACGUAGGCGGACUUUUAAGUCAGAGGUGAAAUCCCAAGGCUCAACCUUGGAACUGCCUUUGAUACUGGGAGUCUUGAGUUCGGGAGAGGUGAGUGGAACUGCGAGUGUAGAGGUGAAAUUCGUAGAUAUUCGCAAGAACACCAGUGGCGAAGGCGGCUCACUGGCCCGAUACUGACGCUGAGGUGCGAAAGCGUGGGGAGCAAACAGGAUUAGAUACCCCCGUAGUCCCUGUCUCUUAUAC
rnacentral:rRNA from 1 species